GGAAGUCUCUUGAGUAACUCCUGAGGUUGACCUCUGACCUCCACAUGCACUCAGGCGUUAUGAGUGUACAUACACUCACACACACAUAAAAGUCCAAAAUACACGGUAGAACAAAAGGCCUAAACAGCCUUGAUGCUUGUCCAGAGGUGAGGAGAGGGUCACAUUGUAGUUACAAAGUUUGGGAUAAUUUAAGACCAUAGGGCUUGAGUAUGGGGAUAUAGAAAAAACAAUGGAGAUUAAGGCAGAGCCAAGAACAGACUCACAUGCUUAAAGCAGAAUCUUGACUGGAAGAUGGGUGUGGUGGUGAAUGCCUGCAGUCCCAGCGCUUGGAAGGCCUGGGCAGGAGAUUCAGAGAUUGAAGCCAGCCUGGACUACAUAACAAAACACUUGACAAAGAAAAGGAGAAGAAAACAAAAGAAACUUCAUUGGGUCAGAAAUAGCAUAAAACUGGCUGGACCAUCCAACAAAAUGGUACUGGCUCUGUGGUUAUCCACAUGAAAAGCUAGCAAUCUGGAUAGUCGUCGCCAAUUGAUACACACCUCAUGUCCUAGACUAUCCCUGUAGGUGGGUUAGACUUAAAUGUGACAGGCUAACCUUUUACAACUGUAAGAAAUCAUAGGAGAAAUGUCCCUGUAAACUGGUGGAGGAAAAGGCUUUUCUGUGCUCAAUAUUAAAGUGCACGCCAGACAGGAAAUGACUGGUAGAUUAGUCUACAUUAAAUUUUAGAAUGUCUUUUCCUCAAAAUACUUCCCCAAAAGGAAAAUCUAAUCCAAAGCCUGGAAAUAUUUGCAAUGUAUACAACUGUCAAGGGAUAGAAUCGGAAUACAUAAAAACUUCUAUGAAUCAGUCCAUUAAAGGCAACCCAAUAAAAAAAUCUGGACAAAGGUCAAAAGUGGGCAUUUUACAGGAGAAUAAAACCUAAUAUACCAUAAUAAAUGUGUGUUGGGGGGGUCAUCUUAGCAAUUAGGAAACAACAAGUUAAAUUGCAAUGAAAUGUGAUUUUAAAUCUUUCAAAAAUGCAGAAUCUAAUAGGACGAUAUCAAAUGGAUGAGGGACAAAGAAAUUCUUAGGUGCUGCAGUUGCCUAAAAUGAGACUAUCAACACAGGGAAAAAUAUGCAUUCUACAGUUGAUGCUAAUAGCAUAUAAGCUGGCCGGUUCGCUCCUAGACACAGACCCUAGAGAAAACAUAGCUCAGAUGUUCCAGGAGUCACACAAGAAUGUUCAUAGCAGCCUGGUUGCCAUAGCAAAACACUGAAAACACUCUCUCUGUCCAAGAACAGGAGAAUGCAGAAAUUCACAUGAGGGAAAAUGAAUGAACUCCAAGAGCAGCCUGACUUGGUCCAGGAGCCUGGUUUUGAAUAAGAAAAGUAGAUCAUAACGGUAAACAGAAAGUAAGCCAAGGCUGAAAGAUCAAAACCUGAGGAACACAACCAUGUAUCUAGGCAAGCAGGUGCCCGUCAAUAUGAUAAAUGAAAGCCAAGAGAACGGUAAACAAGUCCUGAUGAUAGUCAUCUGGGGCAGGAGAAAAUAUUUUUCUAUUCUGUCACUGUAUAACAAAUUACUCCCAGACUUCACUCAGAUAUUAAAUAAUAGGAUAGUCACUCACCACUUAGUUUCCAGGGACUAGAACCCUGGGUCCUCCAGGACUCUCCGAAGUGGCAUUGGAUCUGCCAGGAGGGGAGAGAGGCAAUUGAGGAAGGAUCAGCUUCCACACUUUCCCGUUAUUACUGGGCUGAGGGUUCUGGAUCCCCCAGUAGUUUGUCCUUGAUUCCCCCUCCCCCCUCAGGGAAGCUCUAAACCCCUAAAUGCUUUACCACGCUGCCCAUUGAAACAGCCUGGUGUGUAGCACUUUUGGGGACCCGUUCUCUCUAGCUCCUCAUCUUUCCCCAUCCUCUGACUGCACCCUAUCUGUCUCUUAGGCAGGUUGACUAACCAAUCUCUCCCCGUUUACAUCUGGGUGCCUGACCCAGGACCCACCCAGCACAUGAGCAGGGGAAGCAGUGUGGACUAAGAGAAAAGCUGGGGCCAUUCUGCGGUGAAAUGUGUUGCCAUGACAAAAGAGUAAAGGGCUGUAAAGUUCCCAGUAGUGUGGGGUUAUAAAGAAUAGGAGGAGGAGGAAUGGUCACAUUUAAGAACUUUGGAAUUUCAGACAAUAGAUUGUAUAUUUGUGCUUGCUUGAAAUAUCCAUCAUUGAGAGAAGUUUCCUUUUUCCAAAUGAGACUUCGCAUCUUGAAAAAAAUCAAACCUACAGAAGUUUUUAAUCUAUGCCCUUCAUUUAUAAACUCAUUUGUUAACAUCUUGGUACAUUUACUCUGUGUGUGUGCAUGCACACAGCACACACUUGUGUCUUAAGUGAGAGUCUUUGAGGAUGUCCACAUCCUAAUGUCAGGACAUGUGUAUAUGGCAAGGAGUGAUUCAGGCUCCUAGUCCGCAGACCUUAAGCUAAGAUACUAUCCGGGGCUACUAAGGCAAGUCCAGUUCAAUCACGAGUGUCUUUGUAAUUGGGAAGAAAGAGAGAGAAGAAUCAGGACCAGAGAGAGAUUGUGAGAAAGAUUCAGUCAGCUCUUACCGGUGUUUUUAGAUGAAGGAGGCCGUGAGCCAAAGAAUUCAGGCAAAUUCUGGGAGCUGAAAAAGGCCAAGAAAAAAAGAAGGCUGGAGUUUCCAGAAAAGAAUGCAGCCUAGUGGGGCCCAUCUCAGACCCCUGGCUUUCAUGACGACAAAACAACAGUUUCUCGGGAUGUCUGCUUCCUGCGGAUGGAGUUGUGCACAUCGGGAUCUUUCGAGGCAUUUUCCCAUUUCUUCUGUAUUAUCAAAUGCACAACGCUGUUCCUAAAGCUGUGCACAGGGCCGUGCGUUAACUUCUCACCACUGCGACGAUUACCUGAGAAGAACACUCGAGAGGAGGGAAGAUUUAUUUUGGCUCACAGUUUCAAAGCUUUCAGCCCGGGUUUCUGUCUCCAUUGUUUUUGAGGGAAGCUGGGUUCAGCUGUUCAGGGAGCACGAGGGAUGCAUCCUCUGACCGUCAUCGGCCAUGCUGGAUGGAUCUUUCCGCGAUGCAGCUACCAUUGACGUCACAUCCUGUAAACAGCCCCUCGCUGUUGUCAUGUAUGGAAGCCAAGAAGCUCACGGGGUCACUAUGCAAGAUUGGACUGUUGCAUGUUUCUGUUGUGGGUGCCUUAUCGGGUUGAUAGCCCUCCGUUCUUUCAGGAAAAAAAAAAAAUCACACACAUUUCCUGUACAGAACUAACAGUGAGAUAAAAGGUUUUCUGUUAUCAUCCUGAUAAUGCUUAUAAGUCUCGCUAAUUAACAUCUAUUCGUUUGUUAAUGAGAGUGAAUUUUUCUUGAUUAGUUUGGCCAGAAUUUAAACAAUCUUAUUUUUCU
rnacentral:lncRNA from 1 species